CAGGCUACAUGACACCACCCUGA
rnacentral:miRNA from 1 species